rnacentral:rRNA from 1 species
UUUUUUACCCAAGCUCAGCCACCCCUCCAAAACACCAUAAAACAAAACAAACCAUUUGACCACACUAGUAAAGGAGAUUAAAAA